UACAGAGGGUGCGAGCGUUAAUCGGAAUUACUGGGCGUAAAGCGUGCGUAGACGGUCAUUAGAUCGGGUGUGAAAGCCCCGGGCUCAACCUGGGAAUUGCAUUCGAGACUGAAUAGCUAGGGUACGGUAGAGGGAAGCGGAAUUUCCGGUGUAGCGGUGAAAUGCGUAGAUAUCGGAAGGAACAUCAGUGGCGAAAGCGGCUUCCUGGACCAGUACCGACGUUCAGGCACGAAAGCGUGGGGAGCAAACAGGAUAGAUACCCG
rnacentral:rRNA from 1 species